GUCCCACCGAGCUCUGUGAGGGCUUUGCUGUGUGUUUGGAGGUUCUCUGGCACAGGAGACGUUGGUCCCACGUCGUGUGUUCUGACCCGAUACCUGCACUCAGGUACACAGGUACACAGGUACACAGGUACACCGGUACACCUGUCUCUGCAGUUGUCUCCAGCCUGUCUGGUCUUGAUGAGCUCAGCAGCCUGACAUCCGGAAUGCAGCCGUCCGCCUGCUGUGACAACAGGACGCGUUUUAGAAGCACGGAAUGUAGAUGAGCCGCCGUGUCGUAACCGCUCGCGUCACACAAGCGCAACUGAAUGUCCCAAGAAAACUGAGAAAGAGCCGUAACACGCGUGUGCGGAGUGACUGUGAUCGGGGUCAGCUGAGGCCGCGGCGUGUCCUCCUCAAGGUGCUACAUUGCUUCUAAUCCUCGGCUCGUGUGUCCUGCCAGAUCCCUGCAGCUACAGGCCUCCGUCCUACUGAAUGCUGUGGCUCCAGAUCCCUGUGACGGAGUCUCAGGAGUGUGCUAGAUGACGGGAGGGUGUCUACUAUGAGACUCUGAGGCUCUGUCCCCAGCUGCGUGCCCAUGGGCCCGUGGGCCCGUCCCUGGCCUAGAAAGGGAACAAAGAGCAGGCAGUGCAGCGUGGCUGUGCUCCGCGGCGUACACAGGGCUGUUGUAAGUGCUCUCUCAUGCGUGCUCACAGGGACUCAAGUACGCGUGCUUCAGUUUCCACACAUCACGGCUGACGUUUGGAAGCACUUGGCUGGGCUACAUAUUUCUCCUCCCAUGUCCUCACUGGAUCUCUGCACACGGGUUCCACUGAUGACCGCUAGUCAGCCUCCGUAUCGGCCCACUGCAAAGACACACGUGCUACAGAUGCAGAAACAAAAGCCCACGUCGGCUCCAUCAGUUUCAGCUGGUCCUGAGCAAGGCUAAAGCCUGUAGGACGGGGGGUAGAGGACCUAAUGUCCCAGACAGGAUCACACGGGGCCGUAACUCAGCAUGGACGAGAUCGUCAUCGCAGGGAUCUCGGGCCGUCUGCCCGAGUCCAACAACCUGGAGGAAUUCUGGGAAAACCUCAUCAAUGGCGUCGACAUGGUGACGGAGGACGACCGGCGGUGGACACCAGGCACGGCAGCUCUGCCCCAACAUGCCCCCCGUGAUGGAUGUGGAUUUUCUUUGUUCUGAUCACUUUGAAUAAAAGCUGUUUGACGUGCAGGACGACCACAUUCCUCUCGCUGCAUAUCAGGGACCGACCUGCUCUGCUGGUUAGAGACACUCUGAGGACGGAGACGCCCUGUUGUUCCUCCCUGUGCUGGCUGCCAGUCCCCGGUCUGUCUCUUUGGGUAUCGCUGGUUUCCUGAAGCCCUCAUGCACGUACAUUUGCAAACGUAGCGUUCUCAGCGCCACAGCCGGCGUGCAGAGAGCGCUCGCUGUGACACUUUAGUUCACGCCGUAUUUACAUCAGGUGAUCAGCGCCUUUCUCCUCCCACUACGCCGCACAGCGCGAGCAUUUAAACGCGGCGUGAACGGACCUCCUUCUCUUUCUAUCACGGAUCAGAGAGAAGUCCAUGUGUUAUUUGCGUGGUGGGAGACGUGUGCGCUGUAGCAAAGCGUUGUGUACUUGUGCUGAGUGCAGACUGAGAUAUUCCCCCUGCUGAUGCUGUGACUGUCUGAAAUGAUCCUGGUCUAACCAUUGGAAUGUGGCUGCAGCGAUGGAAUGUGGACGCUGAGUAGGAGAUGCAAUGUCACCUUUGAUUUCUUCCAGUAACUGUAAUGUUGCUGCUUCAUCUGUAACGCGUCUUAUCGGCCUCUGUGGCUCUGAUGACUGCUGUCAUUUCACCAGGAGCCAAAUGGGAGGAAACCCGCAUUCUGCUUUUACAAGGCCGAUCAUUCUCACCGCCGCUUUACCCGUCCCCGCCCAUCGCUUUAUGGGACACUCCCCCUUCCCCCUGACGCUCCCGUCAAUGCAUAUUCAUGACACGGAAAAGCACGAUUAGCCUGUUUCAGUUUCCACCGUCUGCGCUUUCAGCUCCGUGCGGCUUGUUUGUAGAAACCUCGCUGUGCUGUAACGCACACGUUGCAGAACGAAAGUGUUCGUACACGAGACCCUCUGCCUCUUUGGUGCGCUGGGGGGGUCAGGGUUUGAACACAACGUAUGAUGCGUCAUCAUGCCGGUUUGCUUUUUCCUGUCUGACGAUUGAACCUAAUUUAGACUUGUAAGUUCUAUGCUAAUAACUGCUGUCUGUCCUGCGUUUACAUUCUUUAUGUGUUAGUUCUAUAAAGAUCCAUAUGUCAGUGCGUUCUGUCUGAGUUGAUCUCAGACGGUUACCAUGACGAUCUGCGCUGUCAGGAAGUGAACCUCAGCGUCCCUCAAAGCAUUCUCUGCUGUGGUUCAGAGUGCUGCUGUAGCAGCGUGCACAGAGACCCGAUUCAGAGCAGCAACGGCCGCUUGCAUGCAUCUGAUUGGCCGGUGUGGGCCGGGUGCUUGCAUGCAUCUGAUUGGCCGGUGUGGGCCGGGUGCUUGCAUGCAUCUGAUUGGCCGGUGUGGGCCGAGCCCUUUGUUACUGACGGGACUCGUAUGAAUGAGGAGGAUUCUCACACUGGUCGUCCUCCAAACGACCCUUCGCUGUUUCAUUGUGUUAUUGGUGCACCUCAUGUCACUGCUGUCCCACUACCCCCCUCCAGGUUGCAGUUAUUUCCCC
ensembl:lncRNA